rnacentral:rRNA from 1 species
AUUGAACGCUGGCGGCAGGCCUAACACAUGCAAGUCGAGCGAGCGGCGGACGGGUGAGUAAUGGCUGGGAAACCGCCUGAUGGAGGGGGAUAACAACUGGAAACGGUAGCUAAUACCGCAUACCAUCAGAUGUGCCCAGAUGGGAUUGGCUUGUAGGUGGGGUACCGGCUAACCUAGUCGACGAUCCCUAGCUGGCCUGAGAGGAUGACCCGCGACACUGGAACUGAGACACGGUCCAGACUCCUACGGGAGGCAGAAGUGGGGAAUAUGGAACAAUGGGCGCAAGCCUGAUGCAGCCAUGCCGCGUGUGUGAAGAAGGCCUUCGGGUUGUAAAGCACUUUCAGCGGGGAGGCGUUACCCGCAGAAGAAGCACCGGCUAACUCCGUGCCAGCAGCCGCGGUAAUAC